UAAGGUCAAGUAGAAAAGGGCGCACGGUGAAUGCCUAGGCACUAACAGCCGAAGAAGGACGUGACGAACUACGAAAAGCUUCGGGGAGCGGUAAGUACGCAGUGAUCCGGAGAUAUCCGAAUGGGGGAACCCAAUGCAGAGAUGCAUUAUUGAUUAGUGAAUAGAUAGCUAAUCAAAGGAAGACGCAGUGAACUGAAACAUCUAAGUAGCUGCAGGAAGAGAAAGAAAGAUCGAUUUCCUUAGUAGCGGCGAGCGAAGAGGAAAGAGCCCAAACCAAGUGAUUUAUCAUUUGGGGUUGUAGGACUGCGACGUGGCAGUGUAAGAGAUAGUUGAAUUAUCUGGGAAGGUAAGCCAGAGAGGGUGAGAGCCCCGUAAGCGAAAUCUCAAGCACGCCUAGCAGAAUCCUGAGUAGGCCGGGACACGAGGAAUCCCGGUUGAAACCGCGAGGACCAUCUCGCAAGGCUAAAUACUAGUUAGUGACCGAUAGUGAACCAGUACCGUGAGGGAAAGGUGAAAAGAACCCCGGAAGGGGAGUGAAAAAGAACCUGAAACCGUGUGUCUACAAGUAGUCAAAGCACAUUAAAGUGCAAUGG
rnacentral:rRNA from 1 species